rnacentral:rRNA from 1 species
GCAUACCAAUAAGCGGAGGAAAAGAAACUAACAAGGAUUCCCCUAGUAACUGCGAGUGAAGCGGGAAAAGCUCAAAUUUAAAAUCUGGCGGUCUUUGGCUGUCCGAGUUGUAAUCUAGAGAAGUGUUAUCCGCGCUGGACCGUGUACAAGUCUCCUGGAAUGGAGCGUCAUAGAGGGUGAGAAUCCCGUCUUUGACACGGACUGCCAGUGCUUUGUGAUGCGCUCUCAAAGAGUCGAGUUGUUUGGGAAUGCAGCUCAAAAUGGGUGGUAAAUUCCAUCUAAAGCUAAAUAUUGGCGAGAGACCGAUAGCGAACAAGUACCGUGAGGGAAAGAUGAAAAGAACUUUGGAAAGAGAGUUAAACAGUACGUGAAAUUGUUGAAAGGGAAACGCUUGAAGUCAGUCGCGUCGUCCGGGGAUCAACCUUGCUUUUGCUGGGUGUACUUUCCGGUUGACGGGUCAGCAUCAAUUUUGACCGUUGGAUAAAGUUCAGGGGAAUGUGGCAUCUUCGGAUGUGUUAUAGCCCUUGGUCGCAUACAACGAUUGGGAUUGAGGAACUCAGCACGCCGCAAGGCCGGGAAUUUAUUCCACGUUCGUGCUCAGGAUGCUGGCAUAAUGGCUUUAAUCGACCCGUCUUGAAACACGGACCAAGGAGUCUAACAUGCCUGCGAGUGUUUGGGUGGAAAACCCGAGCGCGUAAUGAAAGUGAAAGUUGAGAUCCCUGUCGCGGGGAGCAUCGACGCCCGGACCAGACCUUUUGUGACGGAUCCGCGGUAGAGCAUGUAUGUUGGGACCCGAAAGAUGGUGAACUAUGCCUGAAUAGGGUGAAGCCAGAGGAAACUCUGGUGGAGGCUCGUAGCGAUUCUGACGUGCAAAUCGAUCGUCAAAUUUGGGUAUAGGGGCGAAAGACUAAUCGAACCAUCUAGUAGCUGGUCCUGCG